rnacentral:miRNA from 1 species
CCUAUUGGGUUUCGCACCCCA